UACAGAGGGUGCAAGCGUUGUUCGGAAUUAUUGGGCGUAAAGAGCGCGUAGGCGGUCUGCUAAGUCUGGUGUGAAAGCCCUCGGCUUAACCGGGGAAGUGCAUUGGAUACUGGUAGGCUUGAGUAUGAGAGAGGAUUGUGGAAUUCCUGGUGUAGCGGUGAAAUGCGUAGAUAUCAGGAGGAACACCGGUGGCGAAGGCGGCAAUCUGGAUCAUAACUGACGCUGAGGCGCGAAAGCGUGGGUAGCAAACAGG
rnacentral:rRNA from 1 species